rnacentral:rRNA from 1 species
UACGGGGGGGGCAAGCGUUGUUCGGAAUUACUGGGCGUAAAGGGCUCGUAGGUGGCCAACUAAGUCAGACGUGAAAUCCCUCAGCUUAACUGGGGAACUGCGUCUGAUACUGGAUGGCUUGAGUUUGGGAGAGGGAUGCGGAAUUCCAGGUGUAGCGGUGAAAUGCGUAGAUAUCUGGAGGAACACCGGUGGCGAAGGCGGCUCACUGGCCCGGUACUGACGCUGAGGUGCGAAAGCGUGGGGAGCAAACAGG